rnacentral:rRNA from 1 species
CGUACAACUCUGAACGGUGGA